ACGGAAGGCAGCAGUGAGGAAUAUUGGUCAAUGGGCGAGAGCCUGAACCAGCCAAGUCGCGUGAAGGAUGAAGGUUCUAUGGAUUGUAAACUUCUUUUGUUCGAGGGUAAAGUGAGGGAUGCGUCCCUUAUUGCAAGUAUCGAACGAAUAAGCAUCGGCUAACUCCGUGCCAGCAGCCGCGGUAAUACGGAGGAUGCGAGCGUUAUCCGGAUUUAUUGGGUUUAAAGGGUGCGUAGGCGGGAUGUUAAGUCAGCGGUGAAAGCGUGUAGCUCAACUAUACCAAGCCGUUGAAACUGGCGUUCUUGAGCGUAAACGAGGUAGGCGGAAUGUGACGUGUAGCGGUGAAAUGCUUAGAUAUGUCACAGAACCCCGAUUGCGAAGGCAGCUUACCAGCAUACAACUGACGCUGAGGCACGAAAGUGCGGGGAUCAAACAGGAUUAGAUACCCUGGUA
rnacentral:rRNA from 1 species